rnacentral:rRNA from 1 species
GCACGAAGCCGGAGUUGCUAGUAACCGCGAAUCAGAAUGUCGCGGUGAAUGCGUUCCCGGGUCUUGUACACACCGCCCGUCACACCAUGGAAGUUGGGGGUGCCCAAAGCCGGCAAGCAAAUAUGCUGUCUAAGGCAAAACCAAUGACUGGGGUGAAGUCGUAACAAGGUACC